rnacentral:lncRNA from 1 species
UAUCCCAUGAUGGUAAAGUUCACUACUAACGUGCAUAUCAAAUCAUCUCAUGUAACGACAUCGCUUAUUGACUUGAGUUCAAAUAACUGUUGAAAAUAACCAUCUGCAUAAGUCAAAGAUUAUUAUUCAAAGAUCAUGAAUAAUAAUUCAACGAUAAAAUCUUUAGCUUUUGAUUUUAAGAGAUUGUAUUUGAUUUUAAGAGAUUGUAGUUUGACAU